rnacentral:rRNA from 1 species
ACGAACGCUGGCGGCGCGCCUCACACAUGCCAGUCGAACGAGCGAGAGAGAGCUUGCUUUCUCGAGCGAGUGGCGAACGGGUGAGUAACGCGUGAGGAACCUGCCUCAAAGAGGGGGACAACAGUUGGAAACGACUGCUAAUACCGCAUAAGCCCACGGCUCGGCAUCGAGCAGGGGGAAAAGGAGCAAUCCGCUUUGAGAUGGCCUCGCGUCCGAUUAGCUAGUUGGUGGGGUAACGGCCCACCAAGGCGACGAUCGGUAGCCGGACUGAGAGGUUGAACGGCCACAUUGGGACUGAGACACGGCCCAGACUCCUACGGGAGGCAGCAGUGGGGAAUAUUGCACAAUGGGGGAAACCCUGAUGCAGCGACGCCGCGUGGAGGAAGAAGGUCUUCGGAUUGUAAACUCCUGUUGUUGGGGAAGAUAAUGACGGUACCCAACAAGGAAGAGACGGCUAACUACGUG